rnacentral:lncRNA from 1 species
GAAAGAGGAAGAAUGCGGCCACCCCACUUUCUCAGACACGGUGGAAAGUGGGAGGGAGCAAGAUAAAUGUCACUGUAUCAAGGGGACAUGAGACUGUGCACCCUGAACAGCCAGAAGGCAGGUGGAUCAGAGACCCCAGAGUCAAUCAGGAGCCUGAGUACCAUGUUCUACUCCCAGGAGACGGCAGACUGCGGUCUAGCGGAAACAGACUAAUGGAACCAGCAUCCUUGGAUUCCCAUCUGAGUCCUCACCAUGAAUUCAACAGUCCACCUGGCGCUUUUCUCAGUCUUAUUGGACCAGACCAGGAAAA